rnacentral:rRNA from 1 species
UACGAAGGGGGCUAGCGUUGUUCGGAAUCACUGGGCGUAAAGGGCGCGUAGGCGGCCGUUCAAGUCGGGGGUGAAAGCCUGUGGCUCAACCACAGAAUUGCCUCGAUACUGGACGGCUCGAGACCGGAAGAGGUCAGUGGAACUGCGAGUGUAGAGGUGAAAUUCGUAGAUAUUCGCAAGAACACCAGUGGCGAAGGCGGACUGACUGGUCCGGUUCUGACGCUGAGGCGCGAAAGCGUGGGGAGCAAACAGG